CUCAUCAUCUUGUUUUUUUAUAUCCCUUCCCAGUGUCGAAUCACAAGAAGUUGGAGCAGAUCUUUGAUCUUUUAUUAGUAUUCCCCUUCCUUAGACUGGGACGCAUACAUCGAGAAUCCAGUGUGCAAUUCAUUUUGAUAAGAUAGAUAGAUUGUCCCCAAUUAGUCAUAUAAGUUACACUAAAUCGGAGCUAGAAUAAAGGGUAGGUUGAAUCUUAAAAGUA
rnacentral:lncRNA from 1 species